UGGGGCAGUAAUGCAGAGGCAGUAAUGUACUGUAGGGGGCAGUAAUGUAGGGGGAGUAAUGCAGAGGCAGUAAUGUACUGUAGGGGCAGUAAUGUAGGGGCAGUAAUGUACUGUAUGGGGCAGUAAUGUAGGGGCAGUAAUGCAGAGGCAGUAAUGUACUGUAGGGGGCAGUAAUGUAGGGG